AUUGAACGCUGGCGGCAGGCCUAACACAUGCAAGUCGAACGGUAACAGGAAGCAGCUUGCUGCUUCGCUGACGAGUGGCGGACGGGUGAGUAAUGUCUGGGAAACUGCCUGAUGGAGGGGGAUAACUACUGGAAACGGUAGCUAAUACCGCAUAACGUCGCAAGACCAAAGAGGGGGACCUUAGGGCCUCUUGCCAUCGGAUGUGCCCAGAUGGGAUUAGCUAGUAGGUGGGGUAACGGCUCACCUAGGCGACGAUCCCUAGCUGGUCUGAGAGGAUGACCAGGCACACUGGAACUGAGACACGGUCCAGACUCCUACGGGAGGCAGCAGUGGGGAAUAUUGCACAAUGGGCGCAAGCCUGAUGCAGCCAUGCCGCGUGUAUGAAGAAGGCCUUCGGGUUGUAAAGUACUUUCAGCGGGGAGGAAGGGAGUAAAGUUAAUACCUUUGCUCAUUGACGUUACCCGCAGAAGAAGCGCCGGCUAACUCCGUG
rnacentral:rRNA from 1 species